rnacentral:rRNA from 1 species
CUACGGGGCGCACCAGUGGGGAAUAUUGCACAAUGGAGGAAACUCUGAUGCAGCAACGCCGCGUGGAGGAUGACACUUUUCGGAGCGUAAACUCCUUUUAUAUAGGAAGAAGAUGACGGUACUAUAUGAAUAAGCGCCGGCUAACUCCGUGCCAGCAGCCGCGGUAAUACGGAGGGCCCAAGCGUUACUCGGAAUCACUGGGCGUAAAGAGCGUGUAGGCGGAUUAAAAAGUCAGAAGUGAAAUCCUAUAGCUUAACUAUAGAACUGCUUCUGAAACUCUUAAUCUAGAAUAUGGGAGAGGUAGGUGGAAUUUCUGGUGUAGGGGUAAAAUCCGUAGAGAUCAGAAGGAAUACCGAUUGCGAAGGCGAUCUACUAGAACAUUAUUGACGCUGAGACGCGAAAGCGUGGGGAGCAAACAGGAUUAGAUACCCCAGUAGUC